rnacentral:rRNA from 1 species
AUUGAACGCUGGCGGCAUGCUUUACACAUGCAAGUCGAACGGUUACAGGGUGCUUGCACCGCUGACGAGUGGCGAACGGGUGAGUAAUGCGUCGGAACGUGCCGAGUAGUGGGGGAUAACGCAGCGAAAGUUGUGCUAAUACCCCAUACGUACUGAGGUAGAAAGUGGGGGACCUUCGGGCCUCACGCUAUUCGAGCGGCCGACGUCUGAUUAGCUAGUAGGUGAGGUAAAGGCUCACCUAGGCGACGAUCAGUAGCGGGUCUGAGAGGAUGAUCCGCCAACCUGGGACUGGGACACGGCCCAGACUCCUACGGGAGGCAGCAGUGGGGAAUUUUGGACAAUGGGCGCAAGCCUGAUCCAGCAAUGCCGCGUGCAGGAAGAAGGCCUUCGGGUUGUAAACUGCUUUUGUACGGAACGAAACGGUCCUGGUUAAUACCCGGGGCUAAUGACGGUACCGUAAGAAUAAGCACCGGCUAACUACGUGCCAGCCGCCGCCGUAAGAC